rnacentral:snRNA from 1 species
AACGGGACAGCCCGUGGCCA